rnacentral:rRNA from 1 species
UACGGGGGAUGCAAGCGUUAUCCGGAAUUAUUGGGCGUAAAGGGUCCUGAGGUGGCUAGCCAAGUCUAUUGUGAAAUAUCAGGGCUUAACCCUGAACAUGCGGUGGAAACUAGAAAGCUUGAGUACAGUAGGGGCGGAGGGAAUUUCCGGUGGAGCGGUGAAAUGCAUAGAUAUCGGGAAGAACACCAACGGCGAAAGCACUCCGCUGGGCUGAUACUGACACUGACAGACGAAAGCUAGGGUAGCGAAAAGGG